ensembl:lncRNA
GUAGUGAAUAGGAGUGGGUAUAAGUAGUGAAUAGUGGUGGGUAUAAGUAGUGAAUAGGAGUGGGUAUGAGAAGUGAAUAGGAGUGGGUAUAAGUAGUGAAUAGUGGUGGGUAUAAGUAGUGAAUAGGAGUGGGUAUAAGUAGUGAAUAGUGGUGGGUAUAGGUAGUGAAUAGGAGUGGGUAUAAGUAGUGAAUAGUGGUGGGUAUAAGUAGUGGGUAUAAGUAGUGAAUAGGAGUGGGUAUAAGUAGUGGGUAUAAGUAGUGAAUAGGAGUGGGUAUAAGUAGUGGGUAUAAGUAGUGAAUAGGAGUGGGUAUAAGUAGUGGGUAUAAGUAGUGAAUAGUGGUGGGUAUAAGUAGUGGGUAUAAGUAGUGAAUAGGAGUGGGUAUAAGUAGUGAAUAGUGGUGGGUAUAAGUAGUGAAUAGGAGUGGGUAUAAGUAGUGAAUAGGAGUGGGUAUAAGUAGUGAAUAGUGGUGGGUAUAAGUAGUGAAUAGGAGUGGGUAUGAGAAGUGAAUAGGAGUGGGUAUAAGUAGUGAAUAGUGGUGGGUAUAAGUAGUGAAUAGGAGUGGGUAUAAGUAGUGAAUAGUAGUGGGUAUCAGCAGUGAAUAGGAGUGGGUAUA